UACGUAGGUGACAAGCGUUAUCCGGAAUCACUGGGCGUAAAGGGUGCGUAGGCGGGUCUUUUAAGUCAGGGGUGAAAUCCUGGAGCUCAACUCCAGAACUGCCUUUGAUACUGAAGAUCUUGAGUCCGGGGAGAGGUGAGUGGAACUGCGGAGUGUAGAGGUGAAAUUCGUAGAUAUUCGCAAGAACACCAGUGGCGAAGGCGGCUCACUGGCCCGGUACUGACGCUGAGGCACGAAAGCGUGGGGAGCAAACAGG
rnacentral:rRNA from 1 species